UACGUAGGGGGCGAGCGUUGUCCGAAGUUACUGGGCGUAAAGGGCUCGUAGGCGGCCAACUAAGUCAGACGUGAAAUCCCCAGGCUCAACCUGGGAACUGCGUCUGAUACUGGAUGGCUUGAAUCCGGGAGAGGGAUGCAGAAUUCCAGGUGUAGCGGUGAAAUGCGUAGAUAUCUGGAGGAAUACCGGUGGCGAAGGCGGCAUCCUGGACCGGCAUUGACGCUGAGGAGCGAAAGCUAGGGGAGCAAACGGG
rnacentral:rRNA from 1 species